rnacentral:snoRNA from 1 species
AAACCAUGGUAUGGAAAAAAUCUCAAUAGGUCCUUGUACCUCUCUCACACAUCAUAGAUGCUCUCAUCAUCAAACUGCACAAAAGAAGACAUAUCAUUAUGCAUCU